rnacentral:lncRNA from 1 species
CUGGAUCAUAUCUGGAGUCUUAAGUCAAGCAUUCAACCAUUCUUUAUAGCUAAAAACAUAAUAACUAAUAAUUAAAUAUAAAAUUACUAAAAUUUUUAAAUAAAUCUGAAAAACCAAUUUAAAUAUAUGUUUUAUUCAAGAAGUAUUUUUCAACUUAAUCAAAAAAGCUGAUCAUGCUUAAGGUAUGAACUUAUGAAUAUUAUUUUUAAAAAUAUAUAUGGUGUACUUAAGGAU